GGCCCCGUGGCGCAACUGAAUAGCGCAUCAGAUUUCGGCUCUGAGGGUUGGGGGUUUGAAUCCCUCCGGGGUCACUA
rnacentral:tRNA from 2 species